GCUGCCUGUUUCAUCCCUAGGCAAAGCAUGUCUUUUCCUUCCUUCAGCCGCUUCCUGGAUGGUCUCAGUUCCUAAAAGAAAUUAAUAUAACUUGAGCUCAGUCCUGUAGUUGCCCAAAGGCUCUGUUCCAUGAGAUGUGCCCAACAGGAGCAGUGGUGCUUGAUUUAUGUCAGAUUUCACUUUCUGUUGGCCCACAAUACCAGGCAUGACUUCAAAAUCUUGUGUCCGUAUUUUGCUCAGACUCUUCGACACGAGCUUGGGAGAGCUGAUCUGGGCAGCAGAAGGUUGCCCAGUCCCUUGCCUAACUUCCAGCUGUGGAUCCUGUACAUCUACAAAGGGCACUUGCACCUUCAACUGAGACUUGAGGAAUCCUUGUCAUGGGAAGAAAAGCACAGAAGGUGAUGUGCUUCUGGUCACCUGAUGACUUACAGGGUCUCUUUCUUCUCACAUUAUCCUUUCAGUGCAUGGAUGAAAGGAAGGAAAAGGCUACUCAAACUGGCAGGUUCUCCCAACCAUGUGUCCUUCUGGCAGCUGUGUGGAUGUGAUGGGGAUGGAAGCCCAGGACAGCCCAGUGAUGGAUGAGGUCUUCUGGAUGUUCCUUUCAGUUUUUGCAAAAGCCUUGUGAAGAAACUGCAAGGUCUCAGCAAGAAGACUGAUUUUGCAUCAGAUCCAAGCCUCAGAGAGCCUGCAAGCCCUGAGCUACUGCCAACCCACAGGGAAUGAGUCUGAAGGGUACAGUUUGGCAACAGUGGAACCCAAGAGAGUGUUUAGCUGUAGAUGCAAUAUGAAUUGUUCCUGCAGUUUAUUUUUACAUGCUUAGAGGGUGAAUGAGUUUGGAAGAUUCGGAGAGAAUCAGAAAAUUAGCAGAAUGAAUUAUUAUUGGUUAUUUAGACAAAAUGAGAAAUAUAUUUCCUGGUAGAACAUUGUGUGUCCAGGGAUGAUGAGAGGUGCUUUUGCAGAAAUGCUGGUGGGGAAAUAUUUAAAAGAAGAUUUUUUUCCCCCAGUAAGGAAGAGACCAAGAUACAGAAAAGUUCCCCGAUAUGGAGGCACGAGGGAAAGAUUGGUCUGUAGCAGGGAAACCUAGGCAGGAGAUGCUGAGAGUCUGGCAGGAGAGGAGUGUGAAGCCCCAUUCCUGGCCAGUUUGGUUUGGAGGGCUAAGGUGUAUGUGGCUAAUCUUUUCAUGUCAGCUAUCCCACUGUGCAAGAGAGCUAUAGUGUACCCCUAUGAGGACAUUUCACCUGUAGAAACAAGAUAGGACCUGGCACCAAGGGACCCUAUUUGGAAACAUGUGGUGGAGACAAAAUCAACACUGAAAAACUGUGAAAAAUAAAUGUACAAAGAUGUUCUAGGAUGUCUUUUAGCUUUUUGAAAGAAGAGGGGUAUCCUAAGCAAAUGGGUAAACAGAACAGCCAGAAAGCUUUGGUAGGCAUGGGAGGAGCACAGGGGAAGACUUUGUUCCCUGGUUUAGCUGCUUCUUGGCACAGUAAAUGGGAGCACUUUCUCCAAGGGGCCAGUGACACAGCUAGCCAUGUUUGUAGCCUUCAGCUGCAUGGCAAGAACACUGAAAGUAGUGUCCAUACAAAGUCAUCAAACUGUUACUGGAUGCAGCAUUAGGAUCUCAUCUACUGAAGCAAAAAUAGACACAUGGGCAUGCAGUACAUGAUUAAGAGCAUGUCACCUUUCUCCAUAUUAGUGUGUUUUUAACCACGCUCAGUGGACAGGAUCAUCAGAAUAUAGAUUAACAUUACUGGUCAAAUUAUAUGAAAGUUGUGAAAUUUCUAAACCCUUCCCUCUUUUCUCUAAGUAAGUGCUGGUUUUAACAUUGCUUCUCAAACAAGGAGAUUAUUCAAACCAGUUUCUCGUUAGUCACAUCAUCACCAAACUAUGAGGUCUGAAACAAGUCAGACCACAGCCUGUGUCUGCCCUAAUUGAGAAUAGGAGGAAUCUAAAGGGACCUGGAUUGUGUGCGAACCCUGUGGGGAUGGUAGUGAUGGCAGUGCCAGCCCUAAACAUUCUGUUUUUAAGGUAUCUCGUGGACAUCCAUUGCUUAUGUUUGACAGUGCACUUGUACUGGGUAUUCCCAGGCACAUGGGACCUUCUACAAACUGAAGGGCAUCCUCAGGUCAUGGGGCUGGAGGCCUAGCAGCUAUAUGGGUGGUGAAAUCAGCCUGGAGAGAGUCCCGGAGUGUCACAGGGAUGUGCUGUGCAUGUGAAUGAGAGUGUUCACACACACACGUGUUUAUAUGCAAUAUUGGUCCCUCCUGUGAUAAAUGGGUCUAAGUGAAGCUUUGUGAAAUUUUGAAUUUCUGUUUUUCAGAACAGAGCAAACUGUGGCAAAAAACCAGGAAAAAUUGUUUCCUGGAAUUAAAACAGUCAUGUUCAGAAAUGUUUCCAUGUUCCGUUUUGACAUUUUCUGGAUCAAAGUGAAGUAUUUUGACAUUUGUGAGGACCUUCUUUGGGUCUGACUUUCCUUGAUGCCUGACUGCUCUCUGGCUUCCUCCCUCUCCUACUAACAAGCUGAGAUUGUCCCACAGUGGGAUGCAAAGUAAAUGCAGACUGACCACCUGAAGAGCUCUGCAACACCAAGCAUGGGGAAGAAUAAUGUGCUCACCAGUUACAUAGCUGGUAAUUUAUUCACUGGAAGGGAGAGGGCUGCAGGAGCCAAAGAGAUCAGCUCCACAGACACCUGACCUAGGGACUAGUGCAGGACUGUCUCCAGAUUUUUCUUUGAAGAUGACACACCAGGAAAGUACAUCUGUACCAACUGAAGCACCCAGACCACUAUGCUGAAGAGUUUGGCAUGCAUUUUCAAUUGUGAAGAUUCAGGUGUGCACUGAUACAACUCAUCCAAACUCAACAGAGCUGAUCCUGAUGUACACAAGGACACUCAUAUUCAGAUUACCCAGCUCUCCCCCUCCUCUUCCCCUCAGGGUCUUUCUGCUCAUGUCACGUGGAAUGGCAUAAGUUCAGGUAUGGAUCAGAGAGACUUUGAAAUGGAAAAUCAGAGGAUACCGCAGGCCAUAUUGGAGAAGAGCUGGCAGAGUGGUGAGGGUUAGGACUAAGGUAGGCUUGUAUGGGGUGCUGUGU